rnacentral:rRNA from 1 species
CACGUAGGGUGCGAGCGUUGUCCGGAAUUAUUGGGCGUAAAGAGCUCGUAGGCGGUGUGUCGCGUCGGCCGUGAAAACCUGCAGCUUAACUGUGGGCUUGCGGUCGAUACGGGCAUCACUGGAGUUCGGCAGGGGAGACUGGAAUUCCUGGUGUAGCGGUGAAAUGCGCAGAUAUCAGGAGGAACACCGGUGGCGAAGGCGGGUCUCUGGGCAGUGAACUGACGCUGGAGGAACGAAAGCGUCGGGUAGCGAAGCAGG